GGGCGAGACUUCUUUGUUAGCCAAAGUGGGUGGCAAGCCAACAACACCUUUAAUUCCCCCGUGUCAGUCACUGGAAAAAAUGA